rnacentral:rRNA from 1 species
ACUCAAAGGAAUUGACGGGGGCCCGCACAAGCGGUGGAGCAUGUGGUUUAAUUCGACGCAACGCGCAGAACCUUACCAGCUCUUGACAUUAUAUCAGCGACUUACGGAGACGUAGGUUUCACUUCGGGUGGGAUAUAACAGGUGCUGCAUGGCUGUCGUCAGCUCGUGUCGUGAGAUGUUGGGUUAAGUCCCGCAACGAGCGCAACCCUCAUCUUCAGUUACUAACGGAUAAUGCCGAGGACUCUGGAGAAACUGCCGGUGAUAAACCGGAGGAAGGUGGGGAUGACGUCAAGUCCUCAUGGCCCUUAUGGGCUGGGCUACACACGUGCUACAAUGGUGGUGACAAUGGGAAGCAAUACCGCAAGGUGGAGCGAAUCCCCAAAAGCCACCUCAGUUCAGAUUGUCCUCUGCAACUCGAGGGCAUGAAGUUGGAAUCGCUAGUAAUCGUAGAUCAGCAUGCUACGGUGAAUACGUUCUCGGGCCUUGUACACACCGCCCGU